GCACAAAGCUGAAGAUACUGCAGACUGAAAGCUUAUAUGCACUUGAGAGGUCUGAAAUCAUUGAGCUGUAGCAGAGAUCUGUGCAAGCUGUGACACUGGAAACAGGUAUGCUGUAACUUGGAAACUGAAGCAAGCUGAAUGAAUUCUAGAAUCUGUGGAAGGAAGGUUUACAGAAGGAAGCCCAGCAAUGCUGGAGCUGAGGGCAACUGAGAACUAUAGUCUAUAAUACUCUGGAGCCAGGAUAAGCAAUGAGGCUUGCUGCACACAUUAGCCUUGGGAUCUGGAUGUGACUAAUUGCUCUGGCCCUGAACUACUGGUCAGGGGAUACUUACAAAUGUUAUGCAGAUCUCUGAUUGGUUGCCAUUGUCAGCUGAGACAAGGAACACUCUGACUGGAGGAAGACAAUCAACUGACGUACUCCAACAUGGACAUCCAUGAAUCUGUUCACAACAAAGACUAGCAGGAAAUAUGACCUGCAGGACAGGUUGCAAGUAACUCCUGAGACCCGGGACUCCACCCCACUAUAACCGCUGUUUCCAGAACCCUGCACCGCUACCUUAGGAGAAGACAGUCACCAGUUGGUGGGCUUCCUACACCCCUUCUCCGCUACAGGCUCCACACCAUUGCUGAUCCAACCAUUGUAACAAUACGACAAGAUUUACCUGUGGAUUUGUGUAAAAGCGCGUAAUCCCUGGGGGAGAGGAAAUACGUGAAAGAAGGAACAAGGAAACCGUUAGCAGCCAGAUAAAAGGGUCUAAUUUUUCUUCUGUAAAAGAAUAAAAAAUAAAAAAGCCAUUCUUUAAAGAGUCUCCUGCCCCAGUGUAAUUGGAAGCAUCUCUAC